CAGGGGCCUUGGGUGUUAAUUAAGACUCCUGCUGACACCCAAGACCUCUUCCAAUUAAAAUGCAGAUUCCCAGUUCUCAGUUUGUUAAGACAGAAGUAUGAUGCGAUGGGCCGGUGGCUCUACCACAAGCUGAGCAUCACUGGCCAUGGGUGGAAUGGAUCUGAGAUACAAUAACAACUACAUGAUGCAUCUGCUGAGAGCUAAAGCACAGAGGAAGCCAUCGUUGCUCUGCUGAUGCCCGAAGAACGCACACUUAUCCGGUCUUAGUCUGUGGUGAUAGGGUAUUAAGGUGAUGUCAGAGGGAUCAGUUGCCCACAGGAUCUAUGAGGAAUACAUCAUCCUUCAUCCCAUUCCCCAGUGUGGGUGCUGCUGGCAGCACAGAGUCACUCCAUAUUCCACUGAUCUUGUCCCUGUGAUUAAAUGUCUUUUUGUACACUGUGUAACAGGCGUUCUUUUUCCAGCUGAGGGUAACAGCAGUAAUCCCUUAUGGGUGAGAAGCUGUUAAAUGAAGCUCUGUCAAUUAUGUACCUGUGGAGCAAAAGACAUUUCUUUGUAAUAACUGACUCUUGUGGGGGAAUUUAGUGUUCCUGUGUUUCACAUAGUCAUGUUCUAUUGGCAGAACAGCUGUCAUACCACUGUUUAAUAUUUCAAAG